ACUCAACAUUAACAUUAAAAAAAAGGGUGAGUUGGAGUGGCUAAAGCGUGCCGCCAUUGCGUUGCGGAUACUUGCCCCACCCAGUAUCCCUAAACCUGUUUCUCAGAGUUU
rnacentral:sRNA from 1 species